UACGUAGGGUCCAAGCGUUGUUCGGAAUCACUGGGCGUAAAGGGAGCGUAGGCGGAGCCGUAAGUUGGAAGUUUAAUACCCGGGCUUAACCCGGGACCUGCUUCCAAUACUGCGGCCCUUGAGUAAGGAAGAGGGAGAUGGAAUUCCAGGUGUAGCGGUGGAAUGCGUAGAUAUCUGGAAGAACACCGGCAGCGAAGGCGGUCUCCUGGUCCUAUACUGACGCUGAGGCUCGAAAGUUAGGGGAGCAAACAGG
rnacentral:rRNA from 1 species